rnacentral:lncRNA from 1 species
UUUUGGAAACACAAAAGCAUCUCCCUUAUUCAGAACUUUUGCGAUGAGUUUGUUAUUUAGCUGGUCUGAUGUCACAAAACCGACAUGAAGAGUUCCUUCCAGGACCAGCAGGAUUUCACUGGCACGGGGGUGAAUAUGAGGUGGCCUUUGGCCGUAUGGCGCAUAGUCAAUGCGGAAUGCUGAUAUGCCAAGGGUGUUGAGGCCUGGAAUUUGCUCAACAUUUGCAUCUGUUUCAUCAACACCAAGUCGAUUUGCUGUGUUUCCAGGCUUGUCUAGCCCUGAGAAGAAGAAAUCAUCUGCUCUCGCAAGCUUGGGGUCCUUGCAGAACUUCCCAUUCACAAACACUACAAGAACACACACACAUACACACACAAAGGGGGAAAAAAAGAAUAAUUAAGUAGCAGCACAAAUUAUAUUGAAAUUUAUAUGUUUCGUUAGUUCAGCUUACGUACCACCAUCCUUCGGGUCCUCGAUGGCUACACAGAUAUCUUGUAGAGGGCUAGGGUCAGAGGCAGAGGCCAAAGAAGAAGCCAAAGCCAAGAGAGCAAAACCUAUAAGAAAUUGAAUUGCCUUCAUGGUGAUUAAUUAACAGGAUGUACCUAUCUCAAACUUUAAUCAAGUGUUGUGAUUUGAGAAUAUUGCGAGGCAAACUAGACUAUUUAUAGAACGGAGUCCGUGAACGAGUUUGCGUGUUCAAUUAAUUAGUCCUCGAAGCCGGUCAAGAUUACUGAGUUCUCAUUGGUUAUCUUUGUAAUGUUUCUCAGCCUUCAUUUUCAUUUUUGUUUUCAAAAUUUACACAUCUUAAAUAUAAAUUGUAAAACGUACAAAACAAAGUCUGGCUGACAGUGAUAAAACCCAGACAGGUUAGACACGUUUCCGCCAAUCUUCAAAGCGAACCAUAAAAUACGAUAAGAAACAAUAUUUUAACGCGUUUUCCAAAGCUUAAUUUAAAUAUAAUUUUUUCAUUGGAAAGAAACGAGUUGAAGAAUUUAUGAAAAUGGGUGAGAAAGAAAUUCAUGUCUCUAGCAACAGACUAACAGUUCGGAGUCAUGUUCUGUAGAUGUCGAUGUUACCGGACUUGAUUGGUUUGUUGUUGGACUUAAUGAAGAAGCAUUAUUAGCCUUUUUUUUUUCUUUUUCAUAGCAAUUUUCGUAGCUGCUUUAACCAUUUUUAGUUCUAUCAAUGCUUUACCGAGUCAAUGAUGCACAUGUUUUUUUCAUUACAUGUUAAAGUCACAAAUCAUCUGCUUCAAGAAAAAACGUGAAGACUAUGAUCAGGAGGAACCAAAAGUCUUCUAUCUUAUUUUCAGUGGUCACGUUAAUUAGAAGCUGGAGUCGGCACGUUUUGUUAGAGAUAGUGAAAUCCUUUUACAGUGUCAAUUGAUAUAUAUCAUUUCAACUUUAAAAGUUAAUUUUAAUAUUUGAUAAUUUUUUUUAAAAUCGCUUUUAGUAAAAUCAUGUAGAUCUUGAAAAGUAAAAAAAGAUUAGUUUUUUAAAAUUUGAUUUCGAUGAUCACUUUUAUACUUAAUACAAUUUCAUAUAUAUCCUUAUGUAUAAGAAAAAUCCAAAAUCAUCCUCAUUAAUUAGAAAAUAAAAUUAUUAAUUUGAAAGAGAUUAUUUGUAUUACCAAUUAUAUUGAGAUAACAAGAUAAAAAUAAAAUUAAUAAUGUAAAUAUUUAUUUUAGUUAUCAAUUUUUAUAUAUACACACCUAAAAAUAUUUUAUUUACAUGUUUAUAAAUUUGUAAAUAAAUUUUAUCCAACAAAUGUUCACUUUAAUCAUUUACAUUCUUACAACAUUUUAACAGUAAGAUUUACCAAAUACAUACGACUACUUUUAAAACCCACACACUUUUAAAAAUAAAUUUUACUGAACGUUUAAUUGGUUCUCUAUUAUAGCUGAUUAUUUCUACAGUAUGACUAACAGUAAUUAUUUUACAAGUUAUAACAUUAUUAAACUAGCCCAUAGUGACUCAAUUGAUUAAAACUAAGUCAAUUAAAUCACUAAGUUAGGAAAACAAACCGCCCUUUAGUAAAUUUCUUAAUGUAAAUAUUAGUAAAUUAUGAUGGAAAUAAAAAUAAUAAUCUCUUCCUUUGUUCACCUUUUAAUUAAAAUCCGUUUCAUUAGCUAUUUUGAAUAACAAACUGAAUUGAUCACGAAAUAAUAAUCUCUUUUUCCAAUCAUAAUCAUUUGUAAGGACAUUAAUUAUGUAUUUUUAAUGGGUUCAUAUGUUAAUUAUAUUGUAUACCGUUUGUCAACCAAACUGGCAACCAUUUUAUUGGUUAAAAUUCAUUCAUAUCAGUAUUUAAGAUACGCAUCACUUUCUAGCAACAAUGCGUCAAUGUUAUAUAUGUUCCCGUUCAAACUUUCCACUUGCUGCUUCACCCAUGUAAGUUAUGAAAAAGUUGCUGAGAAAAUGAAAAAAUAAACCAUGGCCAUGAAAAUAAUAAAACGCCGCCAGCCGUUUAGUAUAAUUCUAGGAGCGAUUUAUCAUUUCUUUUUCCUUUUUGCUUUUUAUUUCAACAAUUUAUUAUUGACUAGUGUAUUGCAGGCUUGCAUCAAUGAAGUGUUUGGAUCAUUUAUCCCCUUUUUUUCAAAUAUAAUUCAGAUAUAAUUCUAGAUUAUGCUGGUAGAAACAUCGUCUCAAAGAUUCUAUUGGGUCAUCAAUAGCUGUAUAUGAGUAUAUCUUGAAGAGGGCUACUUUUUCUAGGAUAUGCUGCUAGAAAAUUUUGCAACACGUAACCACUACGAGUUAGUCUUUUUUGUUUAAUUAAGACUCUAAUCUCCCUUUCUAGAAUGCAAGAUAAAAAAUUAAGCUAGAAACGUUAUAUCAAAAUAAUGAAUAGUUACUAAUUUUUGUCAAAUAUAAUUCUAGACAUUCUAGUCACACAUUUUACCAUUUAGUCCAUAAAUUUUCAAAGUACAUAUUAUAUUUCUAAUAUUAUACUUUUAUGUUCAAAUUACUCUGUUGAAUUAUACAUGCGGCUUUUUAACAUAUUAUCCGCUGUGGGUUUAGAUUUAGUAAUGGCAAACCCGCUGCGGGUGCUGCCUAUUGCUAUCUCUAGCCGUGUACUUUUUUUUUCCUUUUAACUACAUUGAUGGAAAGCUGAAUUUUGACUUUUUAUAUUCUGACGAUCCUUCCUUGUACUUCAGUAUGAAGGAAUACGAAGAGAGGGCUGUAUCUUUGGCAUUGGAUCGGCAAAAGCUCCAGGCCCUCACCAAUAAACUUAAAUCAGUACGCUUGACAUGUCCUCUAUUUGACACAGCACGAUGGAUGAGUUGAAACUAAUGUUUGCGAUUGUUUUGCAGUUCUUGGCCCACUUUGUGAAAGAAGUGACUUACAAAUGGAUGCUUUUUUUUUUGGAAAUUGCAAGUCAAGAAUCUGGAGAGGUCAUAUAUCAAAAUGUGGAGUCUCCAUUGCUCUGGGCAGAAGCCCCAACACUUCAAAGUAACUGAGAAUGACUUGGACUUCCCUUGCGAUAGAUAGGUAUAUGGGAAGGGAAACGGGAUUGUAGAUAAAAGCAAAUAGGAAUAGUAGAACGAUGAUUAUUAUUGUAUUUAGAAGAAGAAAUUGUUUCACCUUAUUCAAAUGACGCCAUGGCUGAGUUUGUGAUGUCAGUGCUGAUAAUGGAUUGUAGUCUGUGUACAAAUGUACUUUUCUAUUUAUAAGGAUUUGUGAAAAACGUUGGAGAUUAGAAAAGAAAAUAAAUAGAUUCUUCCUCAAGCCAUCAGUUCUGUUCUAUUAGAGUUGGGACCAGUGGCACCUCCCUAAUCUCAUCAUCAAAUUCCUUCUUCAGUUAUAUUUAUUUCAUCUGUGAAAACGUCGUUUUUUUUCCUUUUUUUUAAGAACACUUUUAAUUUUUAUUUUAUUUUUUUAGUUAAAAGUAGUAUUGUGUUAUUAAUUUUUAUUUCUUUUGUAAUCUUAUUAUUAUCUUAUGCACAAGAUAAAAGAUUUUUUAGGUGACGAGUUUUUCAAUAUUAAUUAUUUAAUUAAAUUAUACAUAUGUUAAAUUAUAAUUUAAAAAUAAAUUUAAGUAUAAAAAUAUUUAAUCGAUAACAAAUCUGAAAAUAAUAAUAGAUUAUUUCAAAUUUUGUAUGGUUUAUUUUAGUUAGAUAAGAAGUAACCGGUACAAAAUUUUAAAAAAAAAAAGAUUGAUUAUAAUUGUAAGUAAUUUUUUUUUUUAAAAAGAUAGAUUAUCAAUAUAAGUGAUUUAUUGAAAAGAAAAAUUUGUGUAUGAUUAAUUUUAUUUGAAGCAGGGUUUUUGAAGGAUAAUGAAGGGGUCCCAAACACUGUGGAGUUGUUGGCUCUUCCGCUGUCAAAGUCACGUAUGCUUGGAAGCUUUUAACCACCGCUGUCAAAAGUCACGUAUACUGCAAUUGGAUCAUGGAUUUUUCAUUUAAUAAGAUAACCACCGGCGGCAACUCUGAUAUACAAAAACAUGUAUUUCAGAUUACGGAAUCUAUCCAAACAUAUAGCAUGCGAGUGCGAUUACCAGCUCGAGCAGUUUUUAUUGCGGAAUUCUUUCAAACACAUAGCACGCAUGUGAAGUUCCCACAUUGGACCUUCCAAGAUGUUAGUUUCUCUAUUCAGAAACCGAACUCAAUGCCUCAUCCCCUCCUUCAAAACCAUGACCACCGCAGCCGCGGCUAAAACCUCAAAAGACGAUUACUUCGCAGCCGUAAACCACAUCGCCAUCAUAGUCCGUCACUACAUAUAUCCAGAACGCACCCUCAACAGACUCAACCUCACCCUCACCUCAGAGCUCGUCUACCGCGCCUCCGCGUCUGCCACACUACUUGCCCUUCCAAAUCCCUCCGCUUCUUCACCUGGGCCCGCUCCCAGCCCCAAUACUCCCCCACUUCCCUCGAAUUCGAACAGCUCAUCUGACCCUCGCCCACCACAAACUCUACCAGUCCAUGUGGAAUCUACGUUCUUCUGGCAUUUGAUUGCGUUCCACCCAAGCACGCUGUUAUUUAUUUUUAAGAAAUAAUGGUGUUUGUAAUUAUUGUCUUUUCUGGCUUUAUCUAGAGUUUAUCUGAGAAAUAAACAGUCAUAAAUAGUUUUGGUUGAUGGACUCUUGGACUUGGUAUUGGAAUUUGGAUUGAAGCAGAGGCGGUUGGCUCGGAGAAAUGAUUACUUUGAACAUUUUUUGCAUGCAUGUAUUUUAUGAUUUUUCAUUUGCUUCUAACCUUGUUGUUCAUUCAAAUGAAAUCAAAUACUCAUUUGGUAUGAUAGAAUCAGUGGGCAAUCAUUUUUAUUUUAGCUUAAAAACCAGGUUAUCUUUGCAUAGCUAUAGUUUUAUAGUUUCUGUUUCUGUGCUUUAUGCUUUCAAAUACUGAUGAUGAACCGAGUGUUUAGCCCAGAGCAAGCUUUCGGGUUUAAGGACAUUAAUUUGCAGCUGAUUCAGCGGUUACACAUACAAUGAUAAAAAUGUGUACCCAAACGCACAGUUUAUGAGCAUGUCUCUCACUGUAUACACGAUUGAGAGUGGGUCCGCCUCCUACUUUAUAACAAUUUAUGUUAGAGUAAUGAUACAGCUACAAACUCUUGUACAAACUUAUUUUGUACAAACUGACGUGGCAUUAAUUCAUUGGUUGAAUGAAAAUAUAAAAUAGUAAAAACAAAUUAUGUGGGCCAAGUGAUAUUUAAUUCAACCAAUCUUAUCAUGCCACAUCAGUUUGUACAAAAUAAGUUUGUACAAGAGUUUGUGGCUAUAUCAUUACUCUUUAUGUUAUACUGACAAUAUUUUCCGCAGUGAUCGCAUGUUUGAAGUUUUGCUUCUCGAAAUGGCUCCUUUCAUUUUUUUCUUUAUUAAAAUAGACAAUUUUCGUUUUUCGUUUUCGACAAGGAAGGUAACUGAUAUGUUUAACGAAGGGAUGAUGUUUUCCUUCAAAAAAUAGUUCAGAGUUAUCGGUAGCGUCUUGUCUUUAAUUUUCUGAACUCCGUGCAGUUGGUGUAAUAGUUUUUGCUGUUCUUCUCUUUGCGGCUAGUGCCUAGAGAGAUGGAGAGAAGCUGAAUGUGAACUAGGAAGGUGGAAAUGUUGUACAUUAACAUACGUAAUCAACUACGACUAUAAAUCCUUUUCAUGGACCCAAAACAUCAUAUCAAUCAAUGCCAUUAUAGUUAUCAAAACUAAAAAAUUAUGGCUUUUGAUAAGUUACAGCUUGUUGUAAGUUUUUGUCCUUACAAAAACAUACAAAAAAUAGUAAUAUGACAGUGAGCACACUUAAUUUUUGUAUGGGCUGUAAAUUACGCUAACUUAGUGUAACUAAAUGUAUUAUAAGAAAGACAAAAUUUAUUGAUUUUUUUCUUAACUAAGUGAUUAGAAUACAUUUACUCAUAAUUAUCGAAGCAGAAAUUAAGUGAUAAUCAAGGGCUUGUAAAACACUUAAUUUCAAACCUCUAAAUUUGAGAACUAUAACAAUAAGAGAAGUUAAGUAACAAUUAAGUGCUUAUAAAACGAUAACUUUUAUUAUAGGUAAAGGAGAUAUGUAUUCAAUAACUAACCACAGGCUGAAGCUCAUCUCAUAUGAAUACUAUUGUGCGAUAGAGAUUACAAUUGUAUGACAAAUGACCCUUGAUAAAUUUAGACAACUAGUAGAAAUUAGAAUUUAAAUUUUUUAUUUUUAAGUUUUUCCAAUAUUCCAAUGUUAAACAUUUAAUUAAAAUUAAAUAAAUCUUAAGGAUAUAUAAAAUCAUGUUUUUAUAAUAGGCCUAAAACGAAACUUUAGAAAAUACAUUUUUUAUGUUAAUUUCUCUUAUACAUUUAUCUGUUACAUACAAAUAUGAUAUGAAUGAGUGAUAAACUCUUUCAUAAAUUAUAUAUUUGACAAGACCAAACCAAAACUUCCACAAAAUAAAUAAUUAAUUAGUUAAUCCAAAACUACCUCGGUUAAUCUGUUAAAUGUUGAAUGUGUUUGAAUAAAGUAAUUUAUAACAAUUUUAAACAAAAUAAAUUUGGUCUAUUCUAUAUUUCAGUCGUCAAUGAGAGUUCUUUUCACCCUUCAACUACUGGACUCUCGCAAUUUAGAGUUAUCAUUUUUAUUAUUAUUGUUAUUGGUCAUAAUUUUAAAAUUUGUUGGGAAAUCUGCGGAAUUAUAUAUUAAACAUCUAAAUUAAUAAUAUGUAUGAAAUAAAUGGCAUCCCACACAAAUAUAAACAAUAAUUUUACUUGAAUUAAACACCCAAAUCCUAUAUUAUAAUAUUAUGCAUAAUUAAACUUACACACUAGACCAUUUUAUUAUAAUUUGGACUUGUGAAGUAUAUUAUUCACUCAGAUUUAUCAACCGUAGAUCACUUUAUCAAACCAUGAUUAUUGUAGAAUUAAAAAAGUUACUGCUUGUCAACUGUAAAUGGACGAACUGUUUAUACUCACCCUUUAUAUAAUUGUGUAAUUAAUUAAUCUUUGUAUAACUCAAAAUUAUUGUUUACUCUAUCAAUCUUAAUGAAUUGAAAGUAGAUGGUUUUAAUUUGCAAAUGUUUUUGCUUCUAUAUUUGUAACUAUUUUUAUUUAAAAAAAUUCAUUAAACAAAUAAAGUUGACCAAAGCAUUCUCCAAAUGCCGACCGUUUUAAUUGACAAAGCUUAAAAACUUUUAAGGAAAUUGGGGCAGAAUAAAUCCUUGAUUAUGUGUAAACUGAUAACCUUCAAAAACCAUUUAAAUUGCCUUUCUAAAGUAUUCUAAUCCAAUAUUUGCUAUAUGAUUUCGAACCAAGUUCGAUUUGUUCAAUUCAUGAUUAAAUGGCAAAGAUAAUAUUUUAAGGAGUUGAAAUAGUUCCACUUUAUUAAUAACUCGGUACAAACCUAAUAAAAAUGAGGAUAUUGGAGUCUCUCGCUCCCCUUGUAUUUGAGAGUAUUUUCGCUUAUUUAUUUAUUAUUUUAGAUUUCUAUGCUGCGUUUAUCUAGUUUAUUAAAAAAAAAGGAAGAUCCUCCUUCGAAAAAUUUCACAAAUUCCAUGCGAGUUAAGUAAGAACUACGCCAUUCAUUAUUUUUAUAUAUGCGGAUACAAGUUGAUCAUAUAUAUAUAUAGAGAGUAACUAAACUAUGUCUUCAGGCAACUAGUUAGCCCCGAACUUUGCUUGAAGAGCUUUCACUACAUAAGGAUCAAGUUGGAAUGCCCUGGCGAGAGCAUAAGGAUCAAUUGGUGGAUCUGAUCCGAAGACUACAUCUGCAAUUGUAAUAACACCAGGAUUCUGGCUACUCAAAGCAGCGAUGGCAAACAGCGUUGGUUGGUCGAAUAUUCACUUGGAAAUGAAUGAGCCCAUUUGGAAACACAAACACAUCUCCUUUGUUCAGGGCUCUGGUGAAGUGUGUUCUUUAGCUGGUUUGAUGUCACAAAACCAACAUAGAGAGUGCCCUCUAGGAUUACUAGGAUUUCUGGGGCACAAUGAUGAGAGUGAUGUGGGUUUGGCCGCUGUUUGCCGCGUAGUCGAUACGAACUAUAGAUAUGCCGAGUAGUGUUGUGCCCUGGAAUCUGUUCUACAUUUGCAGUUGUGACUGUUGAGCUAACUUGAUUCGCUACGCUUUUAGGGAUAUUGUGCCCUGAAAAUUAAUCAAAACUACUUGUUAAAAAGAUUCCGUUUCGUUUUGAAUUUUUUUGUGCCUUUUACUAUUUUAUCCCUAUAAUUAGACUUAUGAUACAUAAAAUGUCAACAAUUAAUCAAUAAGAGAAAAAAAUUAGUCAUAAGUCUGAUUUUAAUGGUAAAAUAAAAAAUAGACAAAAAAGUACAAAGUUUACGUAAUCAUUUUAAUGCCAAAGAGUUUUAAUGAGUUUUGAAACGUAAGGAGAAAAAUAAUAAAUCUACUAGAACAAUAGGAAGAUUUUGAUCAUUUUCCCACUGAUAUAAAGAAAAACGAUACACACCACACGUCUUGAUCUUGAAAUCGUUGAUGGCGACACAAAAAUCCUGAAGACGGCUAGGGUCAGAGGCAAUGGCCAAUGAACAAGCCAAAACCAAGAGAACAGAAGCUACAGGAAAUUGAACUCCUUUCAUGUUGAUUAGCCACAUGCAAUUAGGGAUGGCAAAAAUUCCUACGGGGACAGGUACCCUCGGGGAUUUUCCCCAUUCAGGGAGGGUAUGGGAAUAAUUUCAUACCCAAUUUCUUAUUCGAGGAAAGGAAGGAGAAAUUUUUUUACCAAUUUCUUAUUCGGGGAGGGGACAUGGAUGAGGUGGAAUCCUCAUCCCCUACCCGUUUUCCCAUUUUAAUUUUUAAUUUUAUUAUUAUUUUUUAAAAUUACUAGUAAAUAAAUAAUAAAAUUUGAAUUAUAAAAUUAUAAAUAUUGGUAAAAAUAACAAAUAUCAAAAUAUUUAUAUUAUUAAACUUUUAGGCUUAAUUAACUAAUUAAAGUUCUAAAUUUUUAUUUAGGACAUUAAAAAAACCGGGUAAAUUCUAUUAGCCCAAAAAUUUUGUUUUAAUUUUAAUAUUCAUUAAAUGUUUUAAACUUAAAUAUAUUUUUUAUUUAUUUUUAGAUGUUAUAAUUGCCCACAGCGAAUCACAAUUUUAAUAUCUAAUUUAAUCUAAUAUUUGCUCUUGAUUUGCUCCGACUUAACUAUUGUGUUGUAAAGGGAAUAGUCCACAUUUAUAAAGUGCCAUGCCACCAUUGAAAAAGUUAAUUUUGAAUCUAAAUUCGAUUUUAUUUGUAACAAUUUUGUAUUAGACUAUUAAUUUAUUCAUGAUAGUUUGUAAAAGAAGUUUGUAUCCCUUACAUGCUGCGUUACUUACUAAUUUAAUGUANNNNNNNNNNNNNNNNNNNNNNNNNNNNNNNNNNNNNNNNNNNNNNNNNNNNNNNNNNNNNNNNNNNNNNNNNNNNNNNNNNNNAAUGUAUUAGUUAUUCGGGGAUUGAGGACCCUUGGGGAUCCCCUAUUAUUAUUCGGGGAGGGGAUGUAGAUUCUCUCAAGUAAUUCUGACGGGGACGGGGACAUACGCAAAAUAUCAGGGAUGGGUACGGGGGGAUUGGUCCCCUCCCCUCCCCUCCCCAUUGCCAUCCCUACAUGCAAUUGCUUGCUACAUGCAUGCAAAUGUUCAACAUUAUGUGUGAUUGCUCUUAUCAAGCGACAUCAACUAGUCAUCUACCAAUUGAUCUUGGGGCUCAAUAGAAUCUGUUUCACAUCAGAUUUUGCAUAACAAAAAGUAAUGAAGAGAUUAAUUAAUAUAUGUGUGUGUGUGUGUGUGUGUACGGAAAAAAUAUAUGUAUAAGGAGAGGCAUGGGAAAGGCUUAGCUGCUAAAUAAAACCAACCAUAAAUUAUGUUUAUUACAUGGCUACAAUCAGCCUGAAGAGAGGUUCAUGAGAGAGCUUUUUUUUUACAUUAAUUAAGAUAUGAUAAUCUAGAGCUAAAACAAUAAAGCCACUAGUGAAGAGGCCAUUUAUAUUAAAAGCUCAUUAAUUCCUUCUCCUAAUCGCCAUUAAUGAACUUAUGCUGAAGAUCUUUCACUGUCUUCGGGUCCAACUGGAAUGCCUUGGCAAGAAAAUCGGGAUUGAUUGGAGGAUUAGCUCCAAAGACCGCGUCGGCUAUGGUAAUUUCACCGGGGAACUGGCUGUUUAGAGCAGAAUAGGCAACUGCAUUUGUUUUUCCAACGUUGAAUUGGAAGUGAAUCAAACCUUUUGGAAACACAAAAGCAUCUCCCUUAUUCAGAACUUUUGCGAUGAGUUUGUUAUUUAGCUGGUCUGAUGUCACAAAACCGACAUGAAGAGUUCCUUCCAGGACCAGCAGGAUUUCACUGGCACGGGGGUGAAUAUGAGGUGGCCUUUGGCCAUAUGGCGCAUAGUCAAUGCGGAAUGCUGAUAUGCCAAGGGUGUUGAGUCCUGGAAUUUGCUCAACAUUUGCAUCUGUUUCAUCAACACCAAGUCGAUUUGCUGUGUUUCCAGGCUUGUCUAGCCCUGAGAAGAAGAAAUCAUCUGCUCUCGCAAGCUUGGGGUCCUUGCAGAACUUCCCAUUCACAAACACUACAAGAACACACACACAUACACACACAAAGGGGGAAAAAAAGAAUAAUUAAGUAGCAGCACAAAUUUUAUUGAAAUUUAUAUGUUUCGUUAGUUCAGCUUACGUACCACCAUCCUUCGGGUCCUCGAUGGCUACACAGAUAUCUUGAAGAGGGCUAGGGUCAGAGGCAGAGGCCAAAGAAGAAGCCAAAGCCAAGAGAGCAAAACCUAUAAGAAAUUGAAUUGCCUUCAUGGUGAUUAAUUAACAGGACGUACUUAUCUCAAACUUUAAUCAAGUGUUGGGAUUUGAGAAUAUAGCGAGGGAACCUAGCCUAUUUAUAGAACGGAGUCCAUGAACGAGUCUGUGAGUUCAAUUUCUUAGUCCUCGAAGCAGGAGAAGACUAACAGAGUCCUCAUUGGUUAUCUUUCUUAGGGCCUGUUCGGUAAUUUUUUCCUCUCAUCUUAAAACAUAAUUUUUUCCUCUCAUCUUCUUCCUCUCUCUCUCUCCCUCGUCGUCAAAUCUUAUCUCUAAGUGUCUCAUCUUCUUCCUUUCUCUCCCUUACCAAGUUAUACACGUUACUGCUUUUUCCUUUUUUCUCGAUCAUUUUUUCAAUUGACAUUGUGCUUUCCUUCAAUUUACUCAACUCAUUGGAAAGAAACGAGUUGAAGAAUGUAUGAAAAUGGGUGAGAAGGAAAUUCACGUCUUUGGCAACAGACUAACAGUUGAGAGUCAUGUUCUGUAGAUAUCGAUGUUUCCGGACCUGAUUGGUUUGUCGUUGGACUUAAUGGAGAAGCAAGAUUAGGCUUUUUUUUUUUUUUCUUUUCAUAGCAACUUUCGUAGCUUCUUUAACCAUUUUUAGUUCUAUUAAUGCUUUACCAAGUCAAUGAUGCACGUGUUUUUUUCAUUACGUGUUAAAGUCACAAAUCAUCUGCUUCAAGAGAAAACAGACUAGGAUCAGAAAGGAACCAAAAGUCUUCCAUCUUAUUUUCUGUGGUCACGUUAAUUAGAAGCUGGAGUCGGCACUUUUUGUUAGAGAUAUCCUUCUACAAUCUCAAUUGAUAUAAUAUCAUUUCAACUUUAAUGGCUGCCCGAGGUUUACCGACCGGCUAGCUCAUUAUUUUUUUGAUAAAAAUUAGUUACCUUCGUUUGUUAUAUAAUCAGGGGGAUAUUGGAAUAAAAGAGAAUGGAAAAUGCUAAGUAUCAAGAAGAAUGAGAGAAAUCUGAGAGAAUGAAGCAUGUGCUGAGAGAAGAGAGAGAGAGAAAAAGUUGACAGAAGAGAGAGAGAUGAAGCAAAACAGAAACCUGAAUUGUAGUUUCUCUCAGCUUUCUCUCGUUCUUCUAGCCAUCUAGCAGCACUCAAAGAGAAUAAUUCUUUUUGACGCUUUAAUUAUGCAGUGAGUGCUACUAUAUGACUAGAAGAACGAGACAAAGCUGAGAGAAACUACAAUCUAGGUUGCCGUUUUGCUUCAUCUCUCUUUUUUGUCAGCUUUUUUUCUCUCUCUCUUCUCUCAGUACAUGCUUCAUUCUCUCAGCUCUCUCUCAUUCUUCUUGAUACUUAGCAUUUUCCUUAUGUAAUUGAUCCCCUGCAUUGGGAUUGUACCGUUAUAUAUUAUUUGCUGUUUGUUUUUUAUUUAAGAUCUGAAUAAGUUUAAAUUAGUAUGAAUUUUAAAUAAAUUUAAAUGCAUGAAUUUGAAUAACGUAUUUAUUUAUUUUUUGUCACAAACUUUGAGAAUAAAUAUUAAGUUAUUUUUAACUUCAAAAAUCUAAAAUCAAAACCUUUACAUUUGUGUCCUUACAAUUUUAAAUGUUAAAUAUAUAAUGAACAUCUCAAAGAAUAUAAAUAAGAUAGUAUUUUAUCAUAAUAUAUUUAUAUUUUGUAUGAAUUUUAAAUAAAUUUAAAUGCAUGAAUUUGAAUAACGUAUUUAUUUAUUUUUUGCCAGAAACUUUGAGAAUAAAUAUUAACUUUUAACUUAAAAAAUCUAAAAAUCAAAACCUUUACAUUUGCGCCUUUACAAUUUUAAAUGUUAAAUAUAUAAUGAACAUCUCAAAAAAUAUAAAUAAGAUAGUAUUUUAUCAUAACAUAAAUGGUGCUCAGUGAAUGCAACCUAUUAAUAUUCUAAAUUAGAAUUAUAUUAAUAAAAUUUUGUGAAGAUAAAUAAUUCUAGUUUGAAGAAAAUAAAAAGAUAAAAAUAAUGAUAAUUUACUACUAUAUUAGUAAGCUUUAUUUAGGUAAGGAGGAAAAUAAAUUAAUUAGAUAAAGGUAUUGCAGAGAAUAUUUUUCAAUGAUGUGAUUCAAAAUUUUCAGAUUAAGUAAAAAGCUAAACAAAAUAAUUAGCUUAAAAACUUAAUGACUUAUCAAUCACUAAAUUUUUUUAUUAAAUUGAAAAAAUUAACAGAGUUAUGGUCCAUUUAGGAUUUAUUUCGGGAGGUGCUUUUGAAAAGUUUAAAAGGUAAUUUUGAUGUUUGACAAAUUUUUUAAAAAAUCACUUUUAGCAAAAUCACCGUAUCAUACAACAAAUUUUUAAAAGUAGAGAAAGAGUAGUUUUUUAAAAUUGGAUUUCGAGAAUCCCUUUUAUACUUAAUACAAUUUCAUAUAUAUUCUUAUAUAUAGGAAAAAAUCCAAAACCAUCCUUAUAAAUUAGAAAAUAAAAUUAUUAAUUUUAAAGAGAUUAUUAUUAUUACCAAUUCUAUUGAGAUAACAAAAUAAAAAAUAAAAUUAAAAAUAUAAAACAUUUAUUUUAGUUAUCAAUUAUUAUUUAUACACAACUAAAAAUAUUUUAUUUACAUGUUUAUAAAUGUGUAAAUAAUUUUUAUUCAACAAUAUGUUCAAUUUAAUUAUUUACAUUGUUAAAACAUUUUAACAGUAAGAUUUACUAAACAUUUAAUUGAUCUCUAUACAGCUAUNNNNNNNNNNNNNNNNNNNNNNNNNNNNNNNNNNNNNNNNNNNNNNNNNNNNNNNNNNNNNNNNNNNNNNNNNNNNNNNNNNNNNNNNNNNNNNNNNNNNAUUAAAUCAUUAAGUUAGGAAAACAAACUGCCCUUUAGUAAAUUUCUUAAUGCAAAUAUUAUUAAACUAUAAUGUAAUUAAAAAUAAUAAUCUCUUCCUCUAUUCACUUUUUUAAUUACAAUUAGUUUCAGUAGCUAUUUUGAAUGACAAACUGAAUUGAUCGCGAUAUAAUAAUCUCUUCUUUCAAUCAUAUGGGCAGGUUUGAGUCACUGAGGUAGCUGUGGGAAUUUGUUUUCGUUGAUUUCUGCACUGGGCUUUUUAGGAUUAUUUGUAAAGGCAUUAAUUAAGUAUUUUUAAUGGGUUUAUAUGUAAAUUAGAUUGUAUGUAAUAUUAAAGGUUUGUCAACCAAACUGGCAACCAUUAAUUAAGUUAAAAUCCAUUCGUGUCAGUAUUUAAGAUACGUGUCACAUUCUGGCAACAAUCUUAAUAUGUGUUUCCAUUCGAACUUUCCACUGGCUGCUUGACCCAUCUAAGUUAUGAAAAGUUUCUGAGAAAAUGAAAAAAUAAUCCAUGGCCGUGGAAAUAAUAGAACGCCGCCAGCUGUAUUGUAUGAUUCUAUGAGCGAUUUAUCAUUUCUUUUUUCUUUUUAUUUCGACAAUUUAUUACUGACUACUGUAUUGCAGGCUUGUAGCCAUUAAGUGUUUGGAUAAUUUAUCCCAUUAUUUUCAAAUAUAAUCCAGAUAUAAUUCUAGAUUAUGCUGGUAGAAACAUCGUCUCAAAGAUUCUAUUGGGUCAUCAAUAGCUGUAUAUAUCUUGAAGGGGACUAAUUUUUCUAGGAUAUGCUGGUGGAAAAUUUUGCACCACGUAACUACUAUGAAUGAGUCUUUGUUGCUUAAUUAAGACUCUAAUCUCUCUUUCUAGACUGCAAGAUAAGUUUAAGCUAGAAACAUUAUAUCAAGGUGUACACAUUUUCAUCAAAUAUAAUUGUAGACUUUCUGGUCACACAUUUUACCAUUUAGUCCAUAAUUUUUCAAAAUACCUAUUAUGUUUCUAAUAUUAUACUUUUAUGUUUGAAUUAGUCUGUUGAACUAUACAUGUGACUUUUUAACAUAGAAUACCCUACAUACCUUUUAGUAGGGGAUUUAAAAAAAAGAGCGCAUUAUAUUAAACUAAGGUAGUAUUUGUUUUUUUUUUUUUUGUCUGAAAUCUAAAUGAAUCUGAAUUUUUCUAAAGUCUGAAUGGGUCUGAUUACGAAAAUUUAAAUAAUAUGUUUAUUUUUCUUUUUUAAAUAUCUGAAUAUAAGUGACAUUUUGUUUGUUUUUAAAAUAAAAACAUCUUAAACUUGGUUAUUUGACAUUUAUGUCCUUGUAAAUUCAAAAAAAAAAAAGAGAAUUAGAUUUUAUAGUUUAGGAAAUAAGUUAUUUUACAGAGAUAUUUUUAGAAUAUAAUAUUUACUUGUCUUUCAGACCUUUUUUCAUACAGAUAAAAGUCACAAAGUUUAUUUUUUCUAUUCAUAUGUAAAUGUCUGAAAAUCAGACAUAAGUUCCAAAAAAACAAACAAGUAUAUUUUAGAAAAGGUCUGAAAUUAAUAAAAUUUCAAACUUCAGACAUUUAACAAACAAUCUCUAAGUGUAUGUUUAAUAUGAUUUAUCUAAUGGUCAUAAGUGCUUAUCUAAUCCCAUAAAUUCCUUUUAAAAUUAUUAUUAUUGUUUGAUUGCAUUUUAAGUAAAGUUUUUAAGGAUUAAAUAAAUUUUUUUGUCUCUACUAACAAAAGCUUAAAUUUUAAAAUUUUGAGAGUAUAGAUUAGAGAGACCUUUUAAAAAGUUAAAUCGUCCAAAAUGUUCCAUUAUUUAUUUCACAAUAUUAUGACAUUUCUCUCUCUCUCUCUCUCUCUCUCUCUCUCUAUAUAUAUAUAUAUAUAUAUAUAUAUAUAUCUUAAUUUUAAAAAUUGAUCUAUUAAAAUAAUUUUAUAUAAUUUUUAACAAAGAUCUCAUCGACAACCAAACAACUAAAAUUUCUUUAAUAAAAGCUUCACUUAUAAAAAUUUUACUAACAAAAAUUUUAUUUGAAUAAAUUUUAUCAGAAAAAUUAUACCAAACGAAGCUAACAAUAAGAUUAUAAUAGUAAAAGAAUUCAAUAAUUGCACUCUUAAUGUUACCAUUUAAAAAUUAUUAAGUUAAGAAUGAAAUAGGUAAUUUGGGAAACCCAUCUGGAGGGAUUUGCUUAACAUCCUUUAAAAUUUUUUCCCAGCUGGAAGUAAUUGCUGAACAUCCUUUUCAAUUCCCGAGUAUUAUCUAAUCAGCUUAUUUUGUCAUUUUUAGGUGUUUGCAAAGGCUUUUGGCAAGGAUACUGGGUUGGCUUACGUGUAGUGGACUGAUCAUGUUGACUUUGUUCGGUAGCACAUUUUAUUUUACGCGUGUCUAGUUGUAACCAUGUCUCUCACUGUAUACACCAGUGUGAGUGGGUCCACCUACUAUUUUAUGACAAUUUAUGUUAUACUGACAAUAUUAUUCGUGCUGAUCACAAGUUUGAAGUUUUGCUUCUCUCGAAGAACUGGCUCCUUUCAUUUAUUUAUUUAUUAAAAUUUACAUUUUUUUUCCGUUUCCUUGCAAGAAAGGUAAUUAGAUUAAGUUUAACGGGGCGAUGAUGUUUUCCAUUAAAUAAGUAAAACACAAUUUUAUGCCAGAGUAGAAAUGGCCAAUCAAAACAAGGGUUAUCCAUGUUCGUGCCAUGCCGUCGUGUGCUUAAUUUUUUUUUCUCGUACCUUGCCCAUAUGUGUUGUGUUGUGUCUAAAAAGAAGUUCAAUAAUUUUUUUUAGUUUUUUAAAAGCACGUACUAAGUAAUUGAUAUAUUUUUUUUAAGUUUAUGUUUUUUUUAGGUCUAUACCUUUAUUCAAAUUUAAUAGAAUUGAAAAUUUAAAACUCAAGUCUAUAUUUUAUAAUAAUAAACUAAUAAUAGUAAGAGAAUGUAAUAUUAAUUUUUAAGUUUGACAUUUUAACAUUAUUUUUUUUUAUACUUAACAACAACAACAAUAAUAAAUUUUUCUUAAGGGUUAACUUAAUUGUUAACUUAGACUUACAUAGAGUCAUAGAUCAUAAUUCACAAUAAUAUUAAUGGAUAUUUAUAAAAUCAUAAUAAUUAUAAUUUUAUUUAUUAAAAUCAUGAUAUCAAUUAUAUAUUUAAUAAAUUAUAAAUAUAAAUCAAUUAUAGUACUCUUUAAACUAAGAAUUAAAUGAAUUUAAAAAAUUCAUUUUCAAGUUAUUUGUAAAACUAUAAAAUUUUAAGUUUACUUUCAUUAAAAAAUAAAAUGUGCUUAUUGUGAACUUUUUUAUCGUGCUAUACUUAGUCCAUUUCUAAUCAUGUAGUGCUUUUAAUGCUCGUGUGCUUAAAAUUUUAAGUCUGGCCCAGUCCACGUGCGUACUGUGCCAUACCACAUACCCUACCAAAACGUGCUGGUAUUGUGCCGUACUGUACGAAUACAUGUCGUGCCAUGUGUCAUCUAGUCCAUUGGCCAUCUCUACGCCAGAGUGACAAUAUGCCACAUUGAGAAGAAUUGUGUGCCCCUAAAGCUGGAUUAAUAAUUUAAUUUGAAUUGACAUCUAUAACAGUUGUAGGCUAACCAAUAUUUCCACAGAAAAAAGUAGUUCAAAAUUAUUGGUCGCAUCUUGUCAUAAAUUUUUUAACUCUGCGCAGUUGGUGUAAUAGUUUCGGCUGCUAUUCUCUUUACUACUAGAGCCUAGAGAUGGAGUGAAGCAUAUUGGGAAUUAGGAAAAGAGAGUUGCUUCCUUACAAUUAGGCAGGCGCUAAGUUACGGUUAACGUAACUUACGCCCACACACAGUAACAGUACCACUGGUGGGGCCUGGUACUGUUGCUACGUAAGUUACGUUAUGCCGAGUAGUGUUGUGCCCUAGAAUCUGUUCUACAUUUGCAGUUGUGACUGUUGAGCCAACUUGAUUUGCAAUGCUUUUAGGGAUAUUGUGCCCUGAAAAUUAAUCAAAACUACUUGUUAAAAAGAUUCCGUUUCGUUUUGAAUUUUUUUGUGCCUUUUACUAUUUUAUCCCUAUAAUUAGACUUAUGAUACAUAAAAUGUCAACAAUUAAUCAAUAAGAGAAAAAAAUUAGUCAUAAGUCUGAUUUUAAUGGUAAAAUAAAAAAUAGACAAAAAAGUACAAAGUUUACGUAAUCAUUUUAAUGCCAAAGAGUUUUAAUGAGUUUUGAAACGUAAGGAGAAAAAUAAUAAAUCUACUAGAACAAUAGGAAGAUUUUGAUCAUUUUCCCACUGAUAUAAAGAAAAACGAUACACACCACACGUCUUGAUAUUGAAAUCGUUGAUGGCGACACAAAAAUCCUGAAGACGGCUAGGGUCAGAGGCAAUGGCCAAUGAACAAGCCAAAACCAAGAGAACAGAAGCUACAGGAAAUUGAACUCCUUUCAUGUUGAUUAGCCACAUGCAAUUCCUUGCUACAUGCAUGCAAAUGUUCAACAUUAUGUGUGAUUGCUCUUAUCAAGCGACAUCAACUAGUCAUCUACCAAUUGAUCUUGGGGCUCAAUAGAAUCUGUUUCACAUCAGAUUUUGCAUAACAAAAAGUAAUGAAGAGAUUAAUUAAUAUAUGUGUGUGUGUGUGUGUACGGAAAAAAUAUAUGUAUAAGGAGAGGCAUGGGAAAGGCUUAGCUGCUAAAUAAAAACAACCAUAAAUUAUGUUUAUUAAAUGGCUACAAUCAGCCUGAAGAGAGGUUCAUGAGAGAGCUUUUUUUUUAACAUUAAUUAAGAUAUGAUAAUCUGGAGCUAAAACAAUAAAGCCACUAGUGAAGAGGCCAUUUAUAUUAAAGCUCAUUAAUUCCUUCUCCUAAUCGCCAUUAAUGAACUUAUGCUGAAGAUCUUUCACUGUCUUCGGGUCCAACUGGAACGCCUUGGCAAGAAAAUCGGGAUUGAUUGGAGGAUUGGCUCCAAAGACCGCGUCGGCUAUGGUAAUUUCACCGGGGAACUGGCUGUUUAGAGCAGAAUAGGCAACUGCAUUUGUUUUUCCAAUGUUGAAUUGGAAAUGAAUCAAACCAAUUGGAAACACAAAAGCAUCUCCCUUAUUCAGAACUUUUGAGAUGAGUGUGUUAUUCAGUUGGUCUGAUGUCACAAAACCGACGUGAAGAGUUCCUUCCAGGACCAACAGGAUUUCACUGGCACGGGGGUGAAUAUGAGGUGGCCUUUGGCCAUAUGGCGCAUAGUCAAUACGGAAUGCUGAUAUGCCAAGGGUAUUGAGUCCUGGAAUUUGCUCCACAUUUGCAUCUGUUUCAUCAACACCAAGUCGAUUUGCUGUGUUUCCAGGCUUGCCAAGCCCGGAAAAGAAGAAAUCUUCUGCUCUCGCAAGCUUGGGGUCCUUGCAGAACUUCCCAUUCACAAACACUACAAGAACGCACAA